AUGCUGGAGGUAUCAGAAGUGCGAAUGCUGACAUAAGUAACGAUAAAGCGGGUGAAAAGCCCGCUCGCCGGAAGACCAAGGGUUCCUGUCCAACGUUAAUCGGGGCAGGGUGAGUCGACCCCUAAGGCGAGGCCGAAAGGCGUAGUCGAUGGGAAACAGGUUAAUAUUCCUGUACUUGGUGUUACUGCGAAGGGGGGACGGAGAAGGCUAUGUUGGCCGGGCGACGGUUGUCCCGGUUUAAGCGUGUAGGCUGGUUUUCCAGGCAAAUCCGGAAAAUCAAGGCUGAGGCGUGAUGACGAGGCACUACGGUGCUGAAGCAACAAAUGCCCUGCUUCCAGGAAAAGCCUCUAAGCAUCAGGUAACAUCAAAUCGUACCCCAAACCGACACAGGUGGUCAGGUAGAGAAUACCAAGGCGCUUGAGAGAACUCGGGUGAAGGAACUAGGCAAAAUGGUGCCGUAACUUCGGGAGAAGGCACGCUGAUAUGUAGGUGAAGUCCCUCGCGGAUGGAGCUGAAAUCAGUCGAAGAUACCAGCUGGCUGCAACUGUUUAUUAAAAACACAGCACUGUGCAAACACGAAAGUGGACGUAUACGGUGUGACGCCUGCCCGGUGCCGGAAGGUUAAUUGAUGGGGUCAGCGCAAGCGAAGCUCUUGAUCGAAGCCCCGGUAAACGGCGGCCGUAACUAUAACGGUCCUAAGGUAGCGAAAUUCCUUGUCGGGUAAGUUCCGACCUGCACGAAUGGCGUAAUGAUGGCCAGGCUGUCUCCACCCGAGACUCAGUGAAAUUGAACUCGCUGUGAAGAUGCAGUGUACCCGCGGCAAGACGGAAAGACCCCGUGAACCUUUACUAUAGCUUGACACUGAACAUUGAGCCUUGAUGUGUAGGAUAGGUGGGAGGCUUAGAAGUGUGGACGCCAGUCUGCAUGGAGCCGACCUUGAAAUACCACCCUUUAAUGUUUGAUGUUCUAACGUUGACCCGUAAUCCGGGUUGCGGACAGUGUCUGGUGGGUAGUUUGACUGGGGCGGUCUCCUCCUAAAGAGUAACGGAGGAGCACGAAGGUUGGCUAAUCCUGGUCGGACAUCAGGAGGUUAGUGCAAUGGCAUAAGCCAGCUUGACUGCGAGCGUGACGGCGCGAGCAGGUGCGAAAGCAGGUCAUAGUGAUCCGGUGGUUCUGAAUGGAAGGGCCAUCGCUCAACGGAUAAAAGGUACUCCGGGGAUAACAGGCUGAUACCGCCCAAGAGUUCAUAUCGACGGCGGUGUUUGGCACCUCGAUGUCGGCUCAUCACAUCCUGGGGCUGAAGUAGGUCCCAAGGGUAUGGCUGUUCGCCAUUUAAAGUGGUACGCGAGCUGGGUUUAGAACGUCGUGAGACAGUUCGGUCCCUAUCUGCCGUGGGCGCUGGAGAACUGAGGGGGGCUGCUCCUAGUACGAGAGGACCGGAGUGGACGCAUCACUGGUGUUCGGGUUGUCAUGCCAAUGGCACUGCCCGGUAGCUAAAUGCGGAAGAGAUAAGUGCUGAAAGCAUCUAAGCACGAAACUUGCCCCGAGAUGAGUUCUCCCUGACUCCUUGAGAGUCCUGAAGGAACGUUGAAGACGACGACGUUGAUAGGCCGGGUGUGUAAGCGCAGCGAUGCGUUGAGCUAACCGGUACUAAUGAACCGUGAGGCUUAACCUUACAACGCCGAAG
rnacentral:rRNA from 1 species